UUACUACAACACCCCCAUUAACAUGUUCCUCGGUCAGCCUCUGUUUUUUGGCUGCCUUGGCGCAAUUUCUGUCAUUUUGUUUUAUUAUGUAUUUCUUUUUGUGCGGUUCAUAGGUGGAGGGGGCAAUGGGGGGCGAAGAAGGGAAAAGGGGGAAGGUUGAAAAGGAGUCAAAGUGAAAAGCGAGCGGCAAGCGUAAGCAAAAUGUAAAAAUAAUAUUUUUUCAAGUUGUCGGCUUGAACAACUUUUCGGGCUGAGUUGGCUAAAAAUAAAAAUUGUUCAGCAAUAGUUUUGGGGUCGCAUGUGUGUGUAUAUGAUAUAUUCAGGGGGGUAAAGGGGGACAGUGCGCGCGCUUUUCAACCCCCUUUAGAAAAAAAAAACAGUAGAGCCAAUUGAAUUGUUUAAACUCUCCUCACCGCCCUCACCAAAAAAAAAAUCAAUAAAAAUAACAAAAUACACAACUGAUACAUAUAGAUGGAUUCGUUAAUAAUUCGUGUUUGCCUGGAGGAUAAACGAAAACAUGGUCAAUAUUGGGGAAUCCAUUGGCCAUUCAGUUGAGGAGGAGGAUCCAUUACUCCGAAACCAUUUGCAUGCGAAAAGGAUCCAUUCUCCUCCAUCAAAGAUUCACGUCAAAAGGAAGAAACACAUGGACACCAAAAAACCCAACAGUUUCAGGAUCCACAGAAGAACGGAAUCAAUCAGUUCGAUUCCCAAGCGAGGAUCGAGGGGACAGAAUUUAAUUGGAGAUGAUAUAGAUGAUGAUAUAGACAAAUGUCCGGAUACUCAUCCAAGGCAAUCAAGAAAAGGACCUUUGAACUGUUCCCAAUGCUUGGACAGCUUAACCGCGAGUUCUCAUCUACAAAUAGACUUGCAAACCCUCACACUAGACACUAUGCUCGAAGUGAAUAAGCAGGGGCUCAGAUCUUUAAAAUCACAUGGAAACCCACUUUCCAAUGCUUGACCAGUUCUACCCAGAUUUCAAAUCUUGAUAGACACUUGCGAACUUACACAGGAAAACGAGCAUUCAAACGUAUCCAAAGCUGGAAAUGAAUUAACCAUAGUUCAAUCUUAAGGAUCAGUUGCAAACCCACGCAGGGGAAUCCACUUUCAAGUGUUACAAAUUGAUAAUUUAAUUCAAAUCGUAAAAGGAACAUCUAACAUUGAAUUUUUAAAGAAAUUUAGCCAUAUUUGUCAGUACACUUUAGUCAAAAGUUCAUAUUCAUAAUUGCUUAUUUCUUAAAUAAUAUACUUUGUAAUAGAUUUGAGAGAGAAUUUGGAAAUGUUGUUUUAAAAUUGAUGUAAAUUUAGAUGUAACCUUAAUUGAAAACAGAUUUUCUAAAAUGUUGAUGUAUAUCCAUUGAUCUUUUCUAUGGCAGCUUUAUUAAUUUCGAGUUCUAUGCGCUGUUUAUUCCAAUGGGAGCUUUAUAACAAAGUCGUUCAAAAUUUAUAAAAUUAAAAAUAUAUCUGAAAGCAUAUGGAAUAUAGUAACUCAUGCAUAUAUAUUUUAAAACAACUAAAUUAUAACGAUGUUUUUAUUUAUUUCUCGAUCACAUUAUUAAAGUUAUUUGAUUAAGUCUUUCAAUUUCGAUUCCGACAUAUGUACUACUUGCAAUUAAAGGGAUACAUUUGGUACAGUUUCAUUUAAACUGAGAUUGAUUAAAUUAAACUAAGCUCAGAUUUCAUUUGUAAUUAAAAAUUAUCCCAAUAAAGAAUAAAGAAAUGCUUAGUCAAUCAAAUGUAUCUUGAAUUCAAACAUAUACUCACUUUUACUUUUUUAGUUCACAUAAUCAAAAAAGUAAAGAACUAAGCGUUGCCUUAAAAAUAAACUAUAGUUAGUUUACAAUUAUGUUAAUGUAUCAACAUUUUUCGUUAUGUUGUGUUGUUUUAGCCAAAUUCGAAAGUUGUCAAUUACUAAGAACUUUUUCACAUCCAACAACAUAAAAAAUUCAUGUGAGAAUCCUUUUGCUUUUACUACUACUACUUUUUUUUCGGUGUACGCUCUGAACACGCGCACAAUUAAUCCAAUUGCAAAUGAAAAUAAAUAGAAAUGGGGAUCACUCGAAUUAACAAUCCGGCCAGAAUGAUGAUGAAUGAGCGGGAGGAUGCGGUGGACGAGGAUCAUAAAAGCGACAGCUUCCUUCCCAUUGUCAGUGGCUUACAUAUUUUAUUGUUUACCCACUCGCUUUUCCCUUUUCUGCAUACUUGUGCUCAGGUGUCGAGGACAAAAGCGCCGAAA